rnacentral:rRNA from 1 species
UAGCUUCUACACCAAAAUUUUAUUUUAAUCCAACAUCGARGUCGCAAACUUUUUUUUCGAUUUGAACUCUCAAAAAAAAUAACGCUGUUAUCCCUAARGUAAUUUAAUCUUAUAAUCUUUAAUAARGAUCAAAAAAUCACAAAUAAAUGUAAAAAUAAAAAAAAAGUUUCUUAAAUUUUUCAAUCACCCCAAUCAAAUAAAUUAAUAUACUAAAAAAAAAUUAAAACUAAAAUCUCUAAUAUAAAAAUAUAUAAAACUCUAUAGGGUCUUCUCGUCUUUUAUAAAAAUUUAAGCUUUUUUACUUAAAAAUAAAAUUCUAAAAAAUUUGAAUAGAGACAGCUAUUUUUCCAUCCAACCUUUCAUUCCASCUUUCAWUUAAAAAACUACUUAUUAUGCUACCUUUGCACGGUCAAAAUACCGCGGCCAUUUAAAAACUCAUUGGGCAGGUGARACCUUAAAUUAUAAUCGAAAG